rnacentral:tRNA from 1 species
GGAUUGUGGCUCAGUGGUAGAGCACUUAUCUUGCAAGUGUGAGGCAGUGGGUUCAAUACUCAGCACCA